GGCGGCCCCGGGCGCCCCUGGCUUUCCUGCGCCGAGAGGCGAGGGGCGGAUCGCCGGCCGCCCGGGAGGGGCGAGUGUGCACGGAGGUGCCGGUCCCCGCCCGGUGCGGGCACGCACACGCCGGCCCGGCGCAAAGCCCCCCUGCACCCCGCGAUAGGGGACCCAGGCCGAACCCGGCACGGCUGGAGCCUCCGCUCCCUUUCCACAGACAAUGCAGUCGGAAGGCUGGCCUGUUCCAGCAAGCCUUUCCCGGCCUCCUCUCUCAGCGGGAAAAACUCGAACCCCUGCAUACGAGCCUUGGCCUACAGGGCUCCAAAGAUAAGCCCCAGACCCGAUCUCGGAAAGAUGCUGAUCUCUCCUCUCACUCGCAGCGCCAGCCUCGGGGCUCCUCAGCCCGAGCACCUACUAGCGCGCGCGCACACACUCACACGGCACUCCCAUCACAUUAAAACGCGCGCUCCCGGCACUGUUGUUCACGAAGCCGACGCGCAUAAUGAGUGCACAGGUAAAUAGGUACAGGGGAGCAGCCCUCACCUGUCGGAAGCACAAUUUGCCUCUUCCUACUGGGAAUAUGUGGAGCUUAUCGUGUUUUAGCAAUGAUAUGCUGUUCUUUGUGGUUUUCCCCUCCCCUUCUUGCAGAGAGAAGCCCAAAGGGCAGGGGGGGGAAUCAAAACCAAAAACGAAAACCUGUUCCAUUGUCAGUCUUCUUUCUGAUAAGCUACCGAGCAGUGUUCUACAAGACUUAGGGGUGCGUUCGGUAUGUUAGCUGUUGUUUCCGUUUUGUUGUUUUGGGGUGUGACUUCCUGGGGGAAGCAAAAGAACUUGUAUUUGGUGCGGCUGGAGGCCAGGACGACAAUCCGCUCGCGGGGCGGGCUGCAGAAGGCGCGCCUUGUGCUUCCCCGGGGCUGCACCGGCGCCUGCACCUCGCCUGGGCCGGCCGGCUGCACCAGCUCGCGCAGACUGGCGGGCUCCGCGGCGGCCGCUCCGUGUUUUCCCCCAUCCCGGCUUCACGUUCAAGGUUUAGCUGCGAGGUCACGUCCAUUGACGUCAGCUCCCUGUCUCCCUCUACGUCCGGCUACAUUUACAUACAUCAAGGAAAUUAGGGCAUUAAAAAAAUAUGCAAAUCCUGAGCGGAGAGGAGCGGGAGCAUUCUUGGCGCGAUCGCCUUUUAUUGAAGGUUUUAAUUAAAGAGGCCAGUUGGCGAGCCCCUGAAACAACCGCCAAAACCCCCUAAAAGAGAAAAAUAAACGCUGUAGCCUUCGGGAACAGUUGUUUCUGCUGCUGUUCUGUGGGCGGCUGAGGACCGCCGGCUGCCGGGCUCGGAGAAGAACAGGGAGACCACAAGACGAUCUGGUGAACCACGACUCUGUACACCUGGUUAAAGGAUUAUUAUUGCUGUGCGGUUAUAAGCCUAUCCGGGGGCAUAAAGAAUCCCUGAACAUUACAGUGCUGAACAUUUGGCACGUUUCAGGAUCCACGGACUUGCUAAAUCUUAUUCCAAACUGAGGCUGAGAAAACGGUGCUAGCUUUUGCUCACCAUAGUUUUGAAGGAAAAUGGAACAAGCAAAGUUGUUCUUGGAAAACUAGGUUAAUUGAAGGCAAAUAAAGAUAUUCCCCUUCAGCAGAAGGAGCUGGUUAGGAAGUACAUCAAAUGAGGGCCAUGUUAUACAAAUGCCAGUGGGUUUCUCAAGAGUCUUUGGAAGAGCAAUGAAAGGAGAGGAAGUAGGAAGAAGACCCCAGCCCAGCCUGCACUGGUGGGUUCCUGGGCCAGGAGCAAACCCCGGGCACCAGGCGUACCCCACUCUCCUGUGUCCACACUGUCUGAGGCUGGGUUUCCGAGGAGGAGGAGCUGAGUUCUGUCCAGUGGAUCAACCACAGGUUUAGAAAUGGGGGAUCUGUAUUCGGGCUGCCUUCAGACUCUAGCACUAUAUCACCACGUACCACUCCAGUGUGCUGGAGCUAGAACCUCCCCCCUUUUCACUACUUAACCAUUGCAUAAUAAUUACAUUGCCCUGCUUAUUGAACACUAAAAGAGAAUUUGCACCUCUUUCUUUGCAGUUAUUGGCCAGUGUUCCAUUCUAAUGAGGUCCCCGGAUUGGGCUCUAUGGAGGAGGGAGGGGGAGCUUGGUAAAGUUCAGCUCUGAAAUGCAGAACAAAUCCUAUAAAAGAAAGUAAUCGAUUAUCUGAUAGGUAGAGGAGGACAAAAGAACUUGGGGCCAUGUUUAAGUAGGCCUCAGCAGUUUGCAAAAACUUUUCUUUAUAUUUGACACAGAAAACUUCAUAAAUUGCAUUUCUUUCUCUUCUUUUCUCUUUUUCUUCUUUCUUUCAUUUUCUUUCCAGCUUUUAAAUCAUCUCCAACCUGGGAGAUUUUCUUUUCUUUUCUAGUGAAAUGCUCCCGGAAGGCUUGGAUUAGACACCAACUAGCCACAAAUGCCCCAACAAUGAAUAAGCUGCGCCCAGACGUGUGGAGCCGUGUGGAGGGACCGGACCGGACCACAGCCCCCAGCUGUACCUGGUUCGGCGAUGAGGUCUUGCCAGCCCCAUACCAUUAGAUGUGAAAGGGAGUUGUGCUGCAGUUAACACAGAGGUAGAGGGCAUCGGUGGGUCAGCACGAGCCUUUUGGGCAGUAAGGUACCCCUGCUCCUGGAGCGACCCCAUGAGAGGCACAUCCUCACGUGUGUGGUGUGCUCCUCCUCACAGGUAUGACAUUUUGUCUGAAUUCCAUAGUCUGAGUUCAGGGGUCCACACACAGACUCCUAACUUCUGGCCACAGUCCUGAAUUCACAGCCAUAACUCUACUGAUGUUUGGUUUUAACCUUUUGAAAAUCAUCUUUAAUGAGUACUUCUUUCAAAAUUAAAGAAGCAGAUUCAAAAUUAGACUUCGAGUUGGUCUCUUCCAAGUUACUCUUUUAUCUUUCAAAAUGAAGCCCGCACCCUCGAAUUCAGCCUUUGAUCUCUUCCGGCCCUGCUCGUCCUUGGCACUCUAAGCUUUCAGAC
ensembl:lncRNA